AGCGAACGCUGGCGGUAGGCCUAACACAUGCAAGUCGAACGGCAGCACAGUAAGAGCUUGCUCUUACGGGUGGCGAGUGGCGGACGGGUGAGGAAUACAUCGGAAUCUACUUUUUCGUGGGGGAUAACGUAGGGAAACUUACGCUAAUACAGCAUACGACUUACGGGUGAAAGCAGGGGAUCUUCGGACCUUGCGCGAUUGAAUGAGCCGAUGUCGGAUUAGUUAGUUGGCGGGGUAAAGGCCCACCAAGGCGACGAUCCGUAGCUGGUCUGAGAGGAUGAUCAGCCACACUGGAACUGGGACACGGUCCAGACUCCUACGGGAGGCAGCAGUGGGGAAUAUUGGACAAUGGGCGCAAGCCUGAUCCAGCCAUACCGCGUGGGUGAAGAAGGCCUUCGGGUUUUAAAGCCCUUUUGUUGGGAAAGAAAAGCAGCAGGUUAAUACCCCGCUGUUCUGACGGUACCCAAAGAAUAAGCACCGGCUAACUUCGUG
rnacentral:rRNA from 1 species